UACGGAGGAUGCAAGCGUUAUCCGGAAUGAUUGGGCGUAAAGGGUCCGCAGGUGGCAGUGUAAGUCUGGCUGUCAAAGAAUGAGGCUUAACCUCAUCAAGGCAGUGGAACUACACAGCUAGAGUACGGUCGGGGUAGAAGGAAUUCCUGGUGUAGCGGUGAAAUGCGUAGAGAUCAAGGAAGAACACCGGUGGCGAAAGCGUUCUGCCUAGACCU
rnacentral:rRNA from 1 species